ensembl:lncRNA
CAAAGCUAGUGAAAUAUUCAGUCUCGCAGACUGCAAUGCUACAGUAAUAUUUUCUGAAUAAGGAAGAAAGUCAUCCAGAAGAAGCUUAUUUAUUGGAGCAGGAUUUCAUAGUCAUGAAUCUGGCUUGCUAAAGCAAGGAGCAAAAAGGAAAAAGAAAACACCGACUUAAUCACUUUUUGUACAGGUCAAGAAAAAUCUCAAGGCAUUUUUGAGAAGAAUGCAGCGACAAUUGAAAGACUUUGCCUGCAAAGAUCCUUCAAAGUAAAAACGGAGCGUUGAUAAAGUUUCCUGGUUCUAUCCUAUGGUAAUAUAGGUGAUUUUGGAGAUUCAUGCCAAGGAGUCUGGCAAGGCUGGCACUACUUUGAGUGAUUCUGCUUUAAGGAUCAAUUUAAGGCCACCAGAUAGUGCUUUCAGCUGAUGUAUUCAUGUCAACAGCAUCCAGGUGUGCUUCGUGGAAUGUGGCAGAUGACAUGGAGACUGCCAUCUGGAAAUACAACUAGAUUUUCCCAUGAAAGACUUUUGGUAGAGGUAAGUAUCUCUUCUUGAGGCGUUGUGAAUGGCCCAAUUCCUGAUGCCUUUCCUCCCCUAAACUGCUCUGCACAUCUAGUUUAUGACUGUCGGAAGUCCCAAGCCUGAUAUCAUCAGACCUAUCCUGAAGCAGUAGGAUGGGGGUACUUCCUAUAUCCACACGUGUAAUAGAGAUGUCACCACACAGCUAUACAUGAACAGCUGCCAGACUAAUCCUGUUAACACGCGAAUCCGAUCUUAUCACUCUUGCUCAACACUCUCUUGUGGCUCUCCAUCUUACCCAGAAUAAAACCAAAGUCUUUGACAUGAACCUAGAGAACAUACAUAACCCGGCACCCUGCUACCUCUUAACAUCCUGUUCUCAAUACUGUUCUAACCACAGUGGCCUCUUGCUGUUCCUGAAACUCUCCAGCACCUCCAGCAUACUCCCAUCUCAGGGCUGUGAACUGGCUGUUCCCUGGCCUUUGGACAUCCCUCCCCAAGAACUCCACAUGGCUGGCUCCCUUACCUCUGUGAAGUCUUUCCUCAAAUGUCACCUUCCCAGUAAGACCCCUCCCUCAGCCUUUCCCUCUUUAUUUUUCUCUAUAGCAGUUAUCAUUUCCUAUCAUACUAUAUCAUAUUAUAAUGUAUUUCAUUUAUUUUGUCUUCCUCCCUUAGAAUGUAAGCUCCAUAGGGGCAGGAUUUUUUUUUUUUAAAGAUUUUAUUUUUUUUUCCUUUUUCUCCCCAAAGCCCCCCAGUGCAUAGUUGUAUAUUCUUCGUUGUGGGUCCUUCUAGUUGUGCCAUGUGGGACGCUGCCUCAGCGUGGUUUGAUGAGCAGUGCCAUGUCCGCACCCAGGAUUCGAACCAACGAAACACUGGGCCGCCUGCAGCGAAGCGCGCGGACUUAACCACUUGGCCACGGGGCCAGCCCCCAUAGGGGCAGGAUUUUUGUCAGCCAUAUUUACUGCUGAAUCUUCAGAGCCUAGAAGAAUACCUGGCAAUAAACUCACUUAACAUUUAUUGAACGAAAAAGCAUCCACACUCAUUUUGCCUCUUGGUCUGAAUCAUCAACAGUAAAAGCAUGGAGAAGUAAAAAAAGAUAAUAGCUAUCAAAAUUCAGAGAAAGACCAGGUCUGCUUGGCUUUGCCUCACAAGUUGGGUCUUCAGAGCCUUUGCGAGUCUCAAUUUUCUCCUCAGGAAAACGGAAACAAUUUCUGCUCCAUCGACUUAAUUACAGUUCUUCUCGUCCCAGCCCUUCCAAGCUGUAGGUGUUGACAGUUCUCCAGUCUACAUUCUGAAGCAGCUCUGAACCUUGGAGGGGGAUCUUCCCAGCAGGUAGAGUCCAUGCUCUGUCUGGCAGCUGCUAACACAAUGAUGAAUGUGUCUAUGGUGAGUUACUGGGAGCCACCAGGCUGAAGACUUUCUCAGAGGCCCUUUUGUGCACUUUCAAUUUGUAGGAUUUGAGAUCAGUCACAGUGAAUAGACCCAAAGCCCAUCCCAGAUUGAACCCAGAAAUACCACUUAGCUGUGUCAAGUUUUCUCUAGAGCCUAAAUCCUGAUCCUACAAAUCCAGUCACUUGACAAUUUCAAUCCCAAAGGCAACAAGAUGCCAUUCUACUUCUGGGAAGGCACGUAAUAUGAGGUGGAGUCAGAUAUCCUUCAGUUCAAACCUUGGCCCUUCAUUUCCCACAGGGUUAUCCUGAAUUUGUCACCCCUCUAGGUCUUUGUUUCCUCAGUUGUUAAUGGAAGUAUUGCCCAGAUCUCAGGGUGAUUUUGAGGAUUAAAUAAAGUAGCACAAGUAAAUUUCUCAACACAGAAAAGCUAGCAGAGAAGGCGUUCAGCAAAUGUGAGGUCCUUUCUCCUACUUUUGGGAAAGGCAAGCUACUCUUCCCUGCCCCUUCCUCCUCCACCACCUCCUGGUGGACCCUUGGUCAUCCAUCCCAAACUUGCUCUGAGCUAAGUUCAACAUGCCUCAUUGAACCCUGAGACUGAGCCUGAUGAUCACCCCUCUUGGGAGCUCACUCUGCAUCCUACUGAUCUGUCAUUUGUUCCCAUCAAACCUCCUGACAUGCUCCUAAUGCCUGAGGAAUGUUGCGAGAAAUAAGGAUAGAAUGUGUGAGAUUGGUUUGCAAACUUUAAGUGCUGCAUCGAACUGAGGAACAAUCACUUUUUUUAAUGUAAAUUUUUAACCUUGCAGCUAAAGACAAAGAGAGAGGAAAUUUCUGAAUGUCAGAGACCCCUACAUUGUCGUUGUGAUAGACACUUUGUCAUCCUUUACUUGAUUCACAGAUGACUUAGCCAGUUGAAUAUUAGCCUCCACAUUUGAAAAAUGGGGAAAUGCGGACCCAGAAAAUUAAAUGCCUGAUUUUAUGCGGAAAACCUGGAGUAAUUAAAAUACAAAUGAGUCUGACUCUACAGAUCAUGCUUUUUUGAACUCCACCAUUCUUCCUGCCAGGAUGUGUUUAACAGACAAAAUAUUAUUCCAAGCCAAUUCAGAUUGACCAAAGAGCCCAUCAAAAAGAUGUUCUUCA